GUGAAUGAAACAGUCUUGGGAGAGAAGCGGUUGGUGUAUGGAACCCUGUGCACUUGAUGAAGUGCCAGCACUACACCCCUAUCGAAUCUGAGAAUCAGAGCAAGGUUCCUGUAGUAAACAAACUUGUGCUUGCUAGGCACUAUCUUGAGGAAUGUGUAUCCAAAUCUUGUCCUUAUCAAAAGUUACCUGAGCUCCUAGCUUGUUCAACAAAUUCCAUCUCAUAGGAGAUGUCUCACAUAACCUCUCAUAAAAUGCUGAUGGAUCCUGAGUCAGGCUCUGUGUCAUCUGAUAUGAUUUGGAUAUAUAAUUUGGUACGGGUACCCCAUGUUGUACCUGUAUGUGGGAGAUGACAUAUUGUUUUUCCGUAAGUAAUAUAAUGUUGUACCAAAGGGGCAUACCUCAG
ensembl:lncRNA